AUUGAACGCUGGCGGCAUGCCUUACACAUGCAAGUCGAACGGCAGCACGGGGCAACCUGGUGGCGAGUGGCGAACGGGUGAGUAAUGCAUCGGAACGUACCUUUCAGUGGGGGAUAACGUAGCGAAAGUUACGCUAAUACCGCAUAUUCUGUGAGCAGGAAAGCAGGGGAUCGCAAGACCUUGCGCUGAUUGAGCGGCCGAUGUCAGAUUAGCUAGUUGGUGAGGUAAAGGCUCACCAAGGCGACGAUCUGUAGCGGGUCUGAGAGGAUGAUCAGCCACACUGGAGCUGAGACACGGUCCAGACUCAGACGGGAGGCAGCAGUGGGGAAUUUUGGACAAUGGGAGCAACGCUGAUCCAGCCAUGCCGCGUAAGUGAAGAAGGCCUUCGUGUUGUAAAGCUCUUUCGGCCGGGAAGAAAACGCACGGGCUAAUACCCUGGGUGGAUGACGGUACCGGAAUAAGAAGCACCGGCUAACUACGUGCCAGCCGCCGCAGUAACAC
rnacentral:rRNA from 1 species